rnacentral:rRNA from 1 species
CACGUAGUUAGCCGUGGCUUUCUUGAAUGGUACAGUCAAUCUCUAAUCGUUUCCUAUUAGGGCCGUUCUUCCCAAACAACAGAACUUUACAAUCCAGAGGACCGUCAUCGUUCACGCGGCAUUGCUCGUUCAGGGUUUCCCCCAUUGACGAAUAUUCCUAACUGCUGUCUCCCGUAGGAGUCUGGGCCGUGUCUCAGUCCCAGUGUGGCCGAUCAACCUCUCAGUUCAGCUAUGCAUCGUUGACUUGGUAGGCUCUUACCCCACCAACUAUCUAAUGCACCGCAGGCCCAUCUCUUAGCGAAGCUUUAAAGGCUACCCUUUAAUCCGUAGAUCACAUUCGGUAUUAACAAUCGUUUACCAAUUGGUAUCCCCUAUCUAAGGAGGUACGGUAACCCACGUGUUACCUCUACCCGUUU